rnacentral:rRNA from 1 species
UACGUAGGGUGCGAGCGUUAAUCGGAAUUACUGGGCGCAAAGCGUGCGCAGGCGGUUUUGUAAGCCAGAUGUGAAAUCCCCGGGCUUAACCUGGGAAUGGCAUUUGGGACUGCAAGGCUUGAGUGCGGCAGAGGAGACUGGAAUUCCUGGUGUAGCAGUGAAAUGCGUAGAUAUCAGGAGGAACACCGAUGGCGAAGGCAGGUCUCUGGGCUGACACUGACGCUCAUGCACGAAAGCGUGGGGAGCAAACAGG